UUAAUUUUAAUUAGGUUGGGCAGUCUGUUGAAUUAGGUUAUGCCGCUUGUGCCUCACUCGAUCACGUAGUCCACUGAAGCCAAAGAAGAAUACACACAAACUGACAAACACAGAUGAAAGAUAGCCGCCUGAUAACAUAACACAAAGCCACACAUAUAUUGAAUCUGAUACUCUUCGACAGUCCGACUCGCGCAUCGUGAAGCUCGAAUUAAAAGUUCACCAUGGAUGAAAGUAUUUUGCAGCAAGAAGCGCCUCAAAAUCCAUCGACAGAUGAAGUGGUACGUUGAUUUGAUUGGAGAACCAGAGGAGUUUUUGCAGCUUGAGAAAUUGGAAAAUGGUGAGCACAUUCUGAAUUUUUUGCUUUCUUUCUAUUUCUAAACUGCUGCAUUUCUGAAUCUGCUGCAUUUCUGAAUAUUAUGCUUGAGAAAUUGGAAAAUGGUGAGCACAUUCUGAAUUUUUUGCUUUCUUUCUAUUUCUAAACUGCUGCAUUUCUGAAUCUGCUGCAUUUCUGAAUAUUAUGCUUGAGAAAUUGGAAAAUGGUGAGCACAUUCUGAAUUUUUUGCUUUCUUUCUAUUUCUAAACUGCUGCAUUUCUGAAUCUGCUGCAUUUCUGAAUAUUAUGCUUGAGAAAUUGGAAAAUGGUGAGCACAUUCUGAAUUUUUUGCUUUCUUUCUAUUUCUAAACUGCUGCAUUUCUGAAUCUGCUGCAUUUCUGAAUAUUAUGCUUCAUUUGACAGUUCCUGUUAGUUGCUGUUAAAUACUUUGUGUAUACUGGAGAUAAAUUGUGUAUACUCAUCAUUUGUGUAUACUGGAAAUUACAUUAAUCUGAGUGGUUUUGAGAAGAUAAUAAUAUGGCACAGUUUGGUCAAAAAAGAGCUCAUCCUUGUCUUGUCCUUGCGUUUUUUGGUUUGCUGGUCUACCCAUGAAUCAUGCAAUAUGAAAACUGUAUUAGGGCCUCUACGCUUGCCAAGGCAGACUGCAAAGCCAUUAGUGCACCCCCUUAAAUUAAUGUUUAUUUGGUGUUUUCAUCUUAGACUUAAACACAGGUUACUUGAUAUUGUGUUUUCUGCUUUUGCAACUUUGUCUUCAUGUGCUCUUUUUCUUGGUUGUUUUAAUAUUGUGUUUUGUUUAUAUCAAUUUUUUCAGAUGAGCUAACUGGGGUUGGAGCUUCCAUUCAGCACCUAGACAUUGACGAAGAUUAGCAUAUAACUUGCUUUUGAGAAUGUAAUAGGCGAUCCAGGAGGCAUGAAACUGAUAUGCUUUUGAGGCAUGAAACUGAUCAACUGAAUGUGUAUUAAUAUUUAUGUAAACUUUGGAUGGAUCAUGGAUGGAUGCAUAAUUCUUACUUAAGUUUUAAUUAUUUAUGUAU
rnacentral:lncRNA from 1 species